GUUUGCCGCUAAGAGCGCUGAGGAGAGAUGGGAAGAAGAUGGUGAAGCCACCGAAGGCGUUGAAGCCGAGGACGAAGAGGAGGUUGUGGAUGGUUUCUUCUUUGGAGAGGUUGAACUCGGUUUCGCCUCUUUGAAGCACGGCUUGGCCGUGUUGUUCGACGAAGUCGUAGAGUUUUCUGUAGUCUCCUUUGACGAGGAAGAAUGGGUAAGCGAAAGAGUGGAGGAAGAUCUCUUCGAGUGGUUGCAGGAAGUUGACGCUGAUGGUGGGGAGGAGCUGGAGGAAAACCCAUUUGUCGAGCAUGACGUAGCCAGACUCCGCAAUUUCCGGCGACACAGCGGGAUCCGCGCCAACAAGGCAUUUAGUUAGGAAAUGGAAGAUGAAGCGCUGGAGAGGCUUGAUGUAACUGGCGCUGUUGCUCUUGGCGACGCCGGCGUCGAUGGUGUCCCACAUGGUGUCCAGGCUGGCCACGACCUCGCUUGCCCAGAUGCUGGAACUCCGUUUCAGAAUGUCCAUGGCAAAGCUCUUUACCUGCCGGAGAUUCCAUAAUUGUUGAUGUGAUUUUUCUACAAUUUUUAUUGAUUUAUUUUAAAGGGUAAUUCAUGAAAUUUAAUCUAUGAAUGCAAGACAUAGAAUAAGAUAAAAUUUGUUGCCCCUAUCCCAUGGUCAUGGUGAUGAGUUGCGAGAUAUUUUUGACUUCGAGAUUGUGGGGAACGCAACGUUCUAUUUACAGAGUGUCCUCUAGACCACUCUUGGGCCUAUAUUCGACCUAUAUUCGAAAACGUUAAAUGAAAAUUAUUAUAUUUUUAUUAAGAAAUAAAACAAAAAAAUCCACUUGUGAUUUGUUUUUAAUAUUUAAAAAAUAUUAAAUAUUUAUAAUCAAGAAAAAUAAAAAUAAAAAAUUAGAAAAGCACAUCCUAGUCCCUUAAUAAUUUAAUAUAUAUAUUAAAAAAUUAUUUAAAAUCAAUUCAUUAUUUUAUAUACUACUCCGUUUCAUUGAUUUUAUGUUUUCUGUAAAAAUAAAAUGAUUUGAAAAUUUGUAAGUUAUAGAAAGACAAUAAAAUAAUUUUUUUUAGUAUUUUUUUUAUUAUGUUUAGUUUUUAAAAAAUUUGAAAGAAAAUACGAAAUAAAGAAAUUAAAGAAAAAAAUUAAAAAAAUAUGAAAUAAAUUUAAAUUUAAUAAAUUAUUUUAUUCUAUUUAUUUUUUUUAUAUUAUAACAAGAUUAAAUAAUCUUAAAAUAAAAAAAAAUUAAAUUUAUUUUAUUUUAUAUUUUUUUAAAUAAAACCAAAUCUGACCAACCAUCCAAACAUAUUUAAUAUUUUUUGAAAUCAAAUAUAAGAUAAAAAUAAAAAAAUAAAAAAAUAAAAUAUAUUUAAAAUUAAUCAAUUAUUUUUAUAUAUUAUAUGAAAAAAAAUUCCCACAAAAACCUUAUAAAUGUUCGUUUUCCAUCGCAACUACUGUUUCAACAUUAGUGGUUUAGAUUUUUCAACACACAAAUUUAUAAAUAUUUCUUCCUCCAUAAAUGAAGGUACGACUAUCAGAUCUAAAGCAGUGUCACUCGACAUAGAUAUGCUGACUCACUGAGUCGAUGACUGAACUGGACUCAGUGAGUUUGGAAGAUCAGAACGAGGCAACGGAAUCUUACCCUGGCGUGUUGGGUCUCGGCGGUGUCGAGAUAGGCACAGACUCGAAUGUCGCCGGUGUACUUGACGCUGGGCAUGAAGUCGCCGACGAGGACAUUCUUCUUCUCGACAACAUCCAUAUCAAAGAGAAAGGAGAAGGAUUUGCAAUCGAGGACGGCGAUUACGUUAGGAUUGACACCGACGAAGAAGGGGAACGACGGAGGGACGUUGGUACGGAACACGGUGCUCUUGUACUUGUCGAUCCUCUUCCGGAAGAACGUCUCCGGGCCCUGGAACCAGAAGUAGUCGAGGCGGUCGGCGAUCGGGCCGAGCACAGGCCAGCCGUAGCUGCCAGGAAUCGCGCGAACGGGGGAGGACGAGGGAGGAGACGGUGGAGUUAGAGACGA
rnacentral:lncRNA from 1 species